CGCUCACAGGGCAGAACCAGACGAGCCUCACUGGAGGCAAACUGGGAGUCGUCUCUGCCUUGAACCUUGGAAACAAGUGCUUUCAACAUAAGCGAUGUGAAGGCAUUAAAACAUGUUGAAUGGCUGUGUGCACAGGAUAUCCUACACCUGCCUGACAUCUGGAAUGCAGGUGAAGCAACCUGACCUGAUGGAGCCACCCACACUUUAGAAGAAUCUCAAAUACAGCCAACCCUGAUCUUCCUCAGCUGAAAAUCAUCCAUCUACCAAACUCACAAAUUAAACAUAACGUAAAUAUUAUUACGUUAUGCCUUGUGUUGUGGUGUUAGGCAUGCACAGAUCUGGGUUUAUCCCCUUGUGCUAGACAGUAAGUCACUUGGUUUGAGUCUGUCUGUUUCAGUGACCCUUUUCUCUAAAGCAUUUAGUUAACAUGAUGGCUGACAUCAGCGAGAACUCAGUAAAUGUGGAUUAAAUGAGAAAAUUCAAAAGAAUGAUUACUUACCUUUUUAAAGUUAUCAAUGAAUUCUAUACAAAUAACAACUUAAAGGUCACUAUGUUUCCAGGAAGUUUGGGUGGAGAGCAGAGGAUUGGUUUUCUAGACAGAGAACUUGUUAGACUGAAACAAAUCUUUCUGUGGAAAGUGUUGGGUUGCUGGCCUGAAUCCUGGCUGCUAUAGGGUCCCUGCCUCUUUCUUGGGCCCCUGACCUUAGAAGAAUCUUCCUUCAGAUAAGAAGAGGAGGCAGCUCCAAGUUUACGGCAAACCACCAGCCUCACACACCACUCCCAACCCACCCUUUUUCCAGACUUUAAAACAUCCCAGAAAAGGAUCAUGGUUGCUCCAGCCUGGACCAUGAGCUGCUGAGCAGUCGCUGAAAAUCCCUUCAACAAAAUGACAUAGCUGAUGUGAGUAAAUAGUAAUUCCUUGAAGGAAGAGAAAUUCUAUUUCCAGGGGAAUGACUGCUUGACAGAUAAAAAGAGACACAAGUAUCCCCACAUCUUGGAAUUUGACCUCUAGCCGCCACAAUUGACUAUAUUUGUCAUCACCUUCUUCUUGUCCAGCUGAACUCCUAAACCUGCCACCCCACCCCUAGCUAAGCUAAUAACAUGAAACUGUGCCCCAAAAGAUAGUGAAUAUUUACUGAAAUGCAAAACCAAGAGUUAUAAACUAUAGCCACAGACAAGACUUCUUAAAUGCAGGAAGUUUUGAAUAAGUGGGCACAAGUUAAUACAAUCAAAGAAAAACAAUAUUUGAUAUUUUGGACAUGAGCCCAAUGUGCUGGCGUAUAUGUGUGUGUGAGUGGGCAGGUGGAUGGGGGAAAUCUCACUAAUGAUGGGUGUCAUCAGGAAAGAAAAUCCAAAAACAAAACUACCAUUCAUUUGUACAAUUAACAAUUAGAAAGUGACAAAUGUUUAAUAAUACACUUGGAGUGAUACAUGGUUGUACCUGACCUCAGAAAACUCAUGGCACAACUAAGAAGACAGAGACAUAGACAUAAACAUGUCACAUAGCUUGAGUUCUAGUUGGAGGAUUAAAAGUAUUAUACAAGUACAGAGAUCUAAGAGUUCUGCAGAAGAAAGAUGAUGUUUUAUAAGAAAGUUCCUCGGAGUGGGUCAUUUGAGCUGGGAUUUGAAGGCUAAAUAGGAGUAUGUCAGGUGUGCUUCAUAUCAGCAACUAACAAAAUCAAAGAGACAGAGAAACUGCUGUAGUUGUUAAAGUGACCCCAUCUCUACAAAAACUACAAAAGUUAUCCACGGGUGGUGACACACCCCUGUGGUCCCAGCUACUUAGGGGUGCUGAGGUGGGAGGAUGACUUGAGCCCAGGAGGUUGAGUGUUCAGUGAGCUGUGAUUGUACCACUGCACUCCAGCCUGAGUGACAGAGUGAGACCCUGUGUCAAAGAAAAAAAAAAAAAAAGAAGUGACAGAAAAGUAUAAGUGAUAAGUAGGACAAACCUACCACAUAUUGAAAUAAUAGAAGACAAGCACCUUUUGCUGGAAAAGCAUCACUGCGGGAAGAAUUCCUUCCAUAUAAUUACCAAGAAGUCACUAUUCCAUCAAAUGCAACCGAGAGCCACCGAAGUACCAAGAAAUAAGCAAAUCGGCCUCUAAAAGACCACCACAGCCCACCCCACACAAUCACAUAAAAAUCCAGUUACUAAUGCUUCCACUUUCCUCUCCAGUGAGACUGCUAGAUAUGCUUAUAUCUGACUUUAAAUAUAAUCCUAAUAAAUAUGCUCACCUGAUCUUCCUGUCCACAGCAAAUGGCAAAUAACAAAUCUGGAAAUGUAAGCAGAGUAGCAGCAUUAUGAAAUAACAGCUAAUAUUCCUGCCCUGACCCCAAAGAAAGCAGAACCAAUAGUUUUAAACCUCAGCAGGAAGCAUUCAUUUAAGAAGAAACAGCUCUAUACACAGCUGAGUAGCCACUGGAGGUGUUAUUUUGCUUUGUAUCCUGAUAUUCAUCAAGCAUGUGAGUCUCCAAGAAAAGUUUAGACCUUGUUGAUUAAACAGUAAAGGAUGAUGAGAGGCUUAUUCAGAAGAUUCCCUUUCAGUAUGGUUAAUUGCAGAUUUUUACCAUGUAAAAUAACCAGAUUAAAAAGUCUUCUCAUACCAUACUCCCCUCCUUCCACCUCCAAGCUUUGGUGGGUGCACCUGUUAGGCCUUGCAGUGCCCCUGUGAGCAUGCACCCUCACCACCCUCCUCCAGCUGACCGUAAGUCACUUGAGGGCAAGUCAUUUAUAUUCAUGUAACAUUUAUAGUUUGUCCCCAGUGCUUAGUUCAAAUGCCUUGGCACAUAAUGGGUAUUCAAAAAGGGUUUAUAUAAUGGACAAAGGAAAAUGAAGUGAUUGUAACACUUUUAAAGAAGAUUUAUAUUAAAAAUGAAUGAGCUUCCCACUACACGAACACUUCUUUUGCACUCACCAAUGAAAACUAAAAUUGAUUGAUCAUUUACUAGGUCAGGCACUGUUCCAAGCGUUUCACACAUGUGAAUUUAAUCCUCACCACAGUGCUGUGAAGCAGGCACUAUUAUGUUCCCUAUACCAAGGAGGACAGUGAGGCCCAGACAAUGUGCUGUGCCCAGGCAGGCAGCCGGUAAAUGACAGAGGCUGCCUGCACACUCUGGCAGGCUGGCUCCCAAGCCCAUGCCCUAUCCACUCUGUCAUAUACCUCCAGUGUUAUAUUAUUCAUAGAAGACCAAAAAAAGAAACCUAUGCGACUCACUGCUGCUAAAAGGGGUUGAGAACGUCAGUGUAGCUUCCCCGGUUUACAAAAAAAUCUUAGUGGUUGCACAACGUUGUGAAUGUAUGUAAUGCCACUAAGUUGUACACUUAAAAUAGUUACAAUGGUCAUUUUCAUGUUAUGUAUAUUUUACCACAAUAAAACAUUUCUUUUUAAA
rnacentral:lncRNA from 1 species